CGCUCAUUUUGGGAAUAAUGUCAUAUUUUUCAUUUUACAAUAUUUUGAAACCUCACUUCAUCCUUUUGUUUUAUCUACAAUUUAGGUUUUAUAUUAUCCUACCGUAAUCUGGUAAGACAAAAAGAGAUUACUCGUAAUCUAGGCCACUUGCGAAGUUAGAAAAUUUAUAUAUUUAUGGAGGACUACUUGUGGAAUUUUAAGAAAAUGGUGUUCCCUAGGCAUUCAAUUAUAGUCUUGAUAAGAUAUAAGGAACUGAAAUAGACCAGUCAAACUGGCAAUUCUCAGUAGGAUCACAAACUAAAAAGCAUCUAUCAUCGGUCUGUGGUAGAAUUUUGUUCGUGUGGAACAUAAUGUGGCAGAUGAUGGUGAAUCAUGGUGGGCCCUUGACUGACAUAGUAUCUUGAAACACACUUCCCUUGAAAUCGUAAGGAAGUUUAUAGAUUGCAGAGUCAGAGAACAAUGUGGGGAAUCUGAUAUUCAAGCCCUCGAAACCCCAGCUGCUCUUCUGCUUCAACAAGGCUAUAAAGCAAUUGUAAUUUCAGGAGGUCCCAGUGGGGCAUCCCAGUUUAUGCAGCGGGUGCAGCACAAUACGACCCAGCAGUCUUUACUUGCGAUCUUCCACUGCCGGGAAUUUGUUAUGCAUGCAAUUACUCAACAGGGAAUAAGGUGGAACGGGGGAGAGAAAAGAUGUUCGCAAAGAUGGGCAAUUCAAGAUCCAAGUAGAAACGGAGUGCCCAUUGUUUAAAGGCUUAGAGACUCUGCAAAUGGUAUUAUGACCCAUGGUGACAGCGUAGACAAGGUUGCGUUGCGUCGCAAAAUCUUCGCGUCACAAUAUUUCCGCUAUUGCUGAUAUUACCGAAUCCAGUUCCAUGAUUUGACUGAAAACGGACGAAAAAUGUUGCAUAACUUCUUAUUUGAUAUCUGUGGAUUGCAAAGAGGUUUCACAUUGGAGAAACGCGAGCAGCAGUGUAACGAUUACAUCCGGCGCACGGUCGAACGUGAUCAUGCUGGUAAGCAGCGGAGUCAAUUCCGCCGUUUGUGCUGCACUUCUACUGGGUGGCGACUCGUCGCGAGUGCUGGCCAUCAAUAUCCAUAACGGUUUCCUGCGUGCGGAAGAAGAGCGUCUUCUUCUGGAAGAACUGUCCAGUCACAGCCAGUAUGUUGCCACGCUACUGCCUAUUCGCACUGUUGGUGUUCAGGUGAAGGAGGUUACAGAAAAAUGUGUCGGGUACGGGUUUGGCAAAAAAAGCAUAGGAAAAACCGCCACAUUUUUCUGUAAUAUACUGUAGAACAGAUUCGCAAUUUAGACGUUUUCGUAAUAAUGCCGCGAUCGUAAUCAGCUCUUAUUCAAGGGAGACGAUAGGUGCCACCGUAUCUACGCCAAGGUAUUUUUUUUUUCUUGUCUAGAUCUUUUAAUGGCCAGUGGUAUGUCCUUGAUGCUCGUCUUAUCGAAACACUUGUUUACAUUUUUUGUUGUUGAAAAAUUGUGUCAUUUAUGACAAAAGGUCUUUGUGAUCAUGGCUAAUGGUUUGAGCCGGAUACCAACGACUAUGGCACCUGCCCCACUUCGCCUUGCCCAGAAAGCAAAUGCAACGGUCGCCACAUCUACUGGAAGUCAACAUCAAACUCUGACGGUGGCUGUUAUAAAUCGUUCACACGUGGGCGUUGAGCA
rnacentral:lncRNA from 1 species